UACGAACUGUGCAAACGUUAUUCGGAAUCCCUGGGCUUACAGGGUGCGUAGGCGGCCAGACAAGUAGGGUGUGAAAGCCCCCGGCUUAACCGGGGAAUGGCGCCCUAAACUGUAUGGCUGGAGUGAGAUAGGGGUGUGCGGAACUUCCGGUGGAGCGGUGAAAUGUGUUGAUAUCGGAAGGAACGCCGGUGGCGAAAGCGGCACACUGGAUCUCAACUGACGCUGAGGCACGAAAGCCAGGGGAGCGAACGGG
rnacentral:rRNA from 1 species